CCUACGGGAGGCAGCAGUGGGGAAUAUUGGACAAUGGGCGAAAGCCUGAUCCAGCCAUGCCGCGUGUGUGAAGAAGGCCUUCGGGUUGUAAAGCACUUUCAGUGGGGAAGAAAGCCUUGGGGCUAAUACCCUCGAGGAAGGACAUCACCCACAGAAGAAGCACCGGCUAACUCCGUGCCAGCAGCCGCGGUAAUACGGAGGGUGCGAGCGUUAAUCGGAAUUACUGGGCGUAAAGCGCGCGUAGGCGGUCUGAUAAGCCGGUUGUGAAAGCCCCGGGCUCAACCUGGGAACGGCAUCCGGAACUGUCAGGCUAGAGUGCAGGAGAGGAAGGUAGAAUUCCCGGUGUAGCGGUGAAAUGCGUAGUGAUCGGGAGGAAUACCAGUGGCGAAGGCGGCCUUCUGGACUGACACUGACGCUGAGGUGCGAAAGCGUGGGUAGCAAACAGGAUUAGAUACCCUGGUAGUC
rnacentral:rRNA from 1 species